rnacentral:rRNA from 1 species
GUUGAACGCUGGCGGCGUGCCUAAUACAUGCAAGUCGAGCGAACGGACGAGAAGCUUUCUUCUCUGAUUUUAGCGGCGGACGGGUGAGUAACACGUGGGUAAACUACCUAUAAGACUGGGAUAACUUCGGGAAACCGUAGCUAAUACCGGAUAAUAUUUUGAACCGCAUGGUUCAAAAGUGAAAGACGGUCUUGCUGUCACUUAUAGCUGGAUCCGCACUGCAUUAGCUAGUUGGUAAGGUAACGGCUUACCAAGGCAACGAUGCAUAGCCGACCUGAGAGGGUGAUCGGCCACACUGGAACUGAGACACGGUCCAGACUCCUACGGGAGGCAGCAGUAGGGAAUCUUGCACAAUGGGCGAAAGCCUGACGGAGCAACGCCGCGUGAAUGAUGAAGGUCUUCGGAUCGUAAAACUCUGUUAUUAGGGAAGAACAUAUGUGUAAGUAACUGUGCACAUCUUGACGGUACCUAAACAGAAAGCCACGGCUAACUACGUG